rnacentral:rRNA from 1 species
AACGAACGCUGGCGGCGUGCCUAAUACAUGCAAGUCGAACGCAUUUUCUGUCACCGUAGCUUGCUACAUCGGAAGAAAGUGAGUGCCUAACGGUAGAGUAACACUUAGGUAACGUGCGCAUCAGUAGGGGAUAACACUUGCAAACAGGUGCUAAUACAGCAUCAUUCCAUUUACCGCAGGGGAGAUGGGUGAAAGGCACGGUUGCGGCACAGCUGGGUGACGCCGCGGUGCAGUAGCUAGUGGGUGGGGUGACGGGCUACCAAGGCUUCGAUGCAUAGCCGACCAGAGAGGGUGCUCUCCCAAGCUGGGAUGGGGACACGGCCCACACCCCUACGGGAGGGAGCAGUAGGGAACCUUCGGUAAUGGACGCAAGUCUGACCGAGCAACGCCGCGUGAGGGAAUGAGGCUUUAGGAUCGUAAAACUCUGUUGUUAGAGAAGAACAAGGAUGAGAGUGGCAAGUGCAGCCCUUGACGGUAUCUAAACAGAAAGCCACGGCUAACUCCGUG